rnacentral:rRNA from 1 species
UGCUUUUCUACGCCAAGAAAGGCCCGUACGAGUACGGGAUUGACGGUAGCGUAGGAAUAAGCAUCGGCUAACUCCGUGCCAGCAGCCGCGGUAAUACGGAAGAUGCAAGCGUUAUCCGGAUUCAUUGGGUUUAAAGGGUGCGCAGGCGGGCUUGUAAGUCAGUGGUGAAAUACUGCCGCUUAACGGUAGAAUUGCCAUUGAUACUGCGAGUCUUGAGUAUGGUUGAGGUAGGCGGAAUGUGCAGUGUAGCGGUGAAAUGCCUAGAGAUUGCACAGAACGCCGAUUGCGGAAGCAGCUUACUAAGCCAUAACUGACGCUUAGGCACGAAAGCGUGGGGAGCGAACAGGAUUAGAUACCCUGGGUGUCCCACGCUGUAAACCGAUGUUCACUCGCUUGUUGCGAUACACAGCAAAGCGGCUGAGCGAAAGCAUUAAGUGAACCACCUGGGGAGUACGAUCGCAAGGUUGAAACUCAAAGGAAUUGACGGGGGCCCGCACAAGCGGAGGAACAUGUGGUUUAAUUCGAUGAUACGCGAGGAACCUUACCUGGGCUUAAAUGUAGGCUGCAUGAAGUAGAAAUACUUCUUUCCUUCGGGGACUGCUUACAAGGUGCUGCAUGGUUGUCGUCAGCUCGUGCCGUGAGGUGUCGGGUUAAGUCCCAUAACGAGCGCAACCCUUAUCGUUAGUUGCUAGCAGGUAAAGCUGAGGACUCUAGCGAGA